rnacentral:ncRNA from 1 species
CGUCUUCAGGGCAGGGUGUGAGUCCCUACCGGCGGUAAAUUUGGCGGCUGACACUGGCCGUUCAUCCAAGUCCGCGAGCCGAAAGGCAUGACCCGGUGUGAUUCCGGGACCGACAGUAAAGUCUGGAUGGAAGAAGAU